ACAGAACGCUGGCGGCAGGCUCAACACGAUUUACAAGUCGAAGUAGAGAAGUUUCUCUUCGGCCUAGAUGGACACUGGCUGCACGGGUGAGUAACGCGUGGGGAUCUACCCCGUGGGUGGGGGACAACCGCUGGAAACGGCGGCUAAUACCGCAUACGCCUUAAGAGGGAAAGCUUUAGCGCCCUGGGAUGAACCCGCGUUAGAUUAGGUAGUUGGUGGGGUAAUGGCCUACCAAGCCGACGAUCUAUAGCUGGUCUGACGACGGAUGAUCAGCCACACUCGGGACUGAGACACGGCCCAGACUCCUACGGGAGGCAGCAAGUAGGGGAAUAUUGGACAAUGGGGGCAACCCUGAUCCAGCACAUGCCGACGUGCGUGAAGCAAGGCCUUAGGGUUGUAAAGCGCUUUCACUGGUGAAAGAUGAUGACGGUAGCCAGAGAAGAAGCCCCGGGUAACUCCAGUGCCAGCAGAACGCGGUAAUACGGAGGGGGCAAGCGUUGUUCGGAAUUACCUG
rnacentral:rRNA from 1 species